rnacentral:rRNA from 1 species
CGUGGGGUGGAUUAGUGGCGAACGGGUGAGUAACACGUGGGUGAUCUGCCCUGCACUUCGGGAUAAGCCUGGGAAACUGGGUCUAAUACCGGAUAGGACGAUGGUUUGGAUGCCAUUGUGGAAAGUUUUUCGGUGUGGGAUGAGCUCGCGGCCUAUCAGCUUGUUGGUGGGGUAAUGGCCUACCAAGGCGUCGACGGGUAGCCGGCCUGAGAGGGUGUACGGCCACACUGGGACUGAGAUACGGCCCAG